rnacentral:rRNA from 1 species
UGGGGAAUUUUGGACAAUGGGCGAAAGCCUGAUCCAGCAAUGCCGCGUGUGUGAAGAAGGCCUUCGGGUUGUAAAGCACUUUUGUCCGGAAAGAAAUCCUUGGCUCUAAUACAGUCGGGGGAUGACGGUACCGGAAGAAUAAGCACCGGCUAACUACGUGCCAGCAGCCGCGGUAAUACGUAGGGUGCAAGCGUUAAUCGGAAUUACUGGGCGUAAAGCGUGCGCAGGCGGUUUGCUAAGACCGAUGUGAAAUCCCCGGGCUCAACCUGGGAACUGCAUUGGUGACUGGCAGGCUAGAGUAUGGCAGAGGGGGGUAGAAUUCCACGUGUAGCAGUGAAAUGCGUAGAGAUGUGGAGGAAUACCGAUGGCGAAGGCAGCCCCCUGGGCCAAUACUGACGCUCAUGCACGAAAGCGUGGGGAGCAAAACAGGAUUAGAUACCCUGGUAGUCCACGCCCUAAACGAUGUCAACUAGUUGUUGGGGAUUCAUUUCCUUAGUGACGUAGCUAACGCGUGAAGUUGACCGCCUGGGGAGUACGGUCGCAAGAUUAAAAACUUAAAGGAAUUGACGGGGUCAUAGCUGUUUCC